CUGAAACUGGACUGGUGGUGGAAGCCGGGCACUAACUCUUUAUCACUGGAAGGAAGUGGAAGUCCAGACUCCCCAGCAGCCUCCAUUGGUACCACCAUGGCAGGGAGCGGGGAGCUAUUCAUUACCAGCAGAUGAGGGUUAGAAGUUCAUGCUCCCUGGAUAGUCUCCACUAAACUGAAGGAAGGCAUUCAAGGAAGGGCAGCUCAUCGCCACAGGGCGGAGGUAGAAAUCCAGGCUGCCUACUUGACUUCCUGGGAGACCACCUCAGCAUGGAUGGAAAAGAGCACCUCAUCACCUCCAGGUAUUAUGGGAGAUAGGCUGGGACAGAGAAGGAAAGCCAGGAAGAAGAGACAGCAUGAGCAAAAGCAUGAAGAUCAGAAUUCAAAGAGGAUGCUGCUAAGAAACUACAGACAGAGUCUUGCUAUGUUGCCCAGUCUGGUCUCAAACUCCUGGCCUGAAGCAAUCCUACCUUGACCUCCCAAAGUGCUGGGAUUACAGGACACAGCAAGAAGGCAGCCAUCUGCAGGCCAGGAAGAGAGCUUGCCCAUGCUGGCACCCUGAUCUGGGACUUUUCCUGUCACUGGAACUGAAAAAUAAAUACAUGUUGCAUAAGCCACCCAGCCUGUGUGUUUGGUUGUGGGAGCCCAAGCUGACUAAGAGCAAGACUAUGCUGGACCAUAUAAAUGGGCAAGAUUUUAGAGCUAUCUUCAUAAAGGGAAUUGGACUACUGAGUCACCUCUUAGGGUUUAAAGUCACAUUAGCUCAAAAUUUGAAGCAGC
rnacentral:lncRNA from 1 species